UUUAAUUUGUAUCCACCUAAUGUGAAACAAGAUGGAUUUUUUUCUCUAAAAGAUAACAAUCUGAAAGGAGAAACAAUAUUCAGAAGGAUCAGAUUAAUAUAUAUGAAUUCUUACAAAUAAACUGGCACAGUCCUGGAAUUUGGCACUUUAAAUAAUGAACACAGGGAAGAACACUCCUGAUAAGAAACCAUCACAAGCCCAUGUGACUAACCAGAUGUAUGAAUAUAAAGUACGCACAUUGAAGGAGAUUCAAGAAAUAAGCUGGAAGCAGACUGAGAGGAUCCAUCAUUCGCUCACCAAAAUAAUAGCCCUAGAUCUGGAGAAGGUUCGUUCAGAAGUGCAGGAGGAUGAAUUUGCCUGAACCACAGGCAGAAAACAUUGGAAAAGCUCAUCAGGUCAGGCAGCAUCUGUGGAAGCAAAAACAGAAACAGAAUAUAUUGCUGUUUUCAGCCUUAUUUCUCAAGACACACAAAAGCAGUCAAACUGUAAAAAUCAACUCUAUUACUGCUCAAAUCCAGAAAGUCCUGUGAUCCAGUCCAUUAUUUCUCAUGCAGUACUGGCCCAUUAUGUUCCAUACAAUUUCCCUCCCUGUGUUUAUUUCAAAUUACUGUUAUUUCCCCAGAUGUGCCUCUCCUA